AACAGCCCAUCAAAUAUCUACACAAAAGUAACUUAUUAACUCAUCUUUAUACCAUAUCUUGUUUGUGUGGAGGUGGGGUGCAUGUGUGCCUCAGUGCAUAUGUGGAUGUCAGAGACACAUUGAACGAGUUGCUUCUCUCCGUUUGCCAUGCAGGUUCCAGGGCUCCAACUCAGGUCCUAAAUCUUUGCAGUGAGUAUUUACCAGCUGAGCCACCCUGCCAGUCCAGUUUUAAUUAUUCUUUAGCCACUACCACCUAUCAGUGUCAGAUUAAUUUAUGUUUUCCCCACAAUAUUAAGAAGCCAUUCCCGUAUUCUUGAUUAAUUUCAUUCUAUUUAUGGCCAUAUCAUUAGUAUGUGAAGAUACUUAGAUUAUAAUUCAACAUCUUAUUUCAUUCAUCUCGCUUGAUUUCAGGAUUAGUUGCAAUUCACAGUAUUGAAAAUGUUUACACGUUAAAAAGACAAUUAGAUUAUGUAGCUAGAAAUUAUUAGCUUCAUAGAGCAGUUCAUGACUGGAUACUUAAUCUCAACUAUAGCAUUCACCAGAUGUGUGACCUUGUAAAAUAUUACUAAUUUUGACCCCCAAUUUAUUUAGCAUUAAUUUUUGAAUACUAAUAUUAGUCCAGUGUUGAAGAUUAAAUAAUAUAGGUAUAAAAGUAAUAGCUUAGGUAUUUAGCCUCACACAUAAUUCAAUCAAUAGAUGUUAUCAUUUUCUACUACUAUAAUUUCUUUUAUAUCAUGUUAUUGCACUGAUAUAAAUUUGCUCACAUUGAAGUAUCUCAGUAAAAAUAUUGAAGCUUAUGCUAUGUGGAAUUGAGGUUUAUUCAAAACUCAAAAUAGAGAAAACAUUAUGCCACAUUAACUAGUAUUAUUAGAGAAAUCAUGAGUUUCCUAGGUCACUGUAGGAAACUACUACAAACUUAGUGACUUAAACUGCAAAAACUGUUCUCUCAAAGUUGUGUAACCUGGAGACACCAAAUGCAGUUUUCAGGGAGAUUUUGUGUGUGUGCAUGUGUGCUGUAUGUAUGUAUGUAUGUAUAUAUAUGUAUGCAUCCAUAUGUAGUUGUGUGCAAAUGAAUAUUCAUUUUAAGCAGUGUAUGUGGAGACCAGAGCUUACACUGGAUGUUUUCCAUGACAAAUCUCACCUGAUAUUUUGAAAUAGGGUCUCCCACUGGACCUGAAACUAGUGAUUUUGUGAGGCUGGCUGGCCAAUGAACUGCAGCAAUUUGCCUGACCCUGUACUCCUACCCCAGUGCUAGGGUUACAUGCGCUUACGCCACCAGAUGCAGAUUUUACAUGGAUUCUGGGUAUCCAAAUUCAGGUUUCAUGUUGUGCAGCUGGAACUUUGUUUAUCUGUCUCUACGACCCAUUUUUUCCUUUCUUUAUAAACACAAUUCACAUUAGCCUAGGGUCUACAGCUAAUGCAGGAAGGAAAUUUCUUAACUUGACUACAUCUACAAAACCACAGUGUGCCCUAAUAAGGUCACGUUCAUAGGUACUGGGGACCAGGGUAUAAGCAGGCCUUUUAGAGGAACAUAAUUCAAUUAUAACUCUGUAUUCUGUCUUUAGCUGGAGAUAAAGACAAAGGAGUUUGAUUUCUUCUGUUCUGUUUCUGAAAAGCUGUUGUGUUCCUGAUGUUUUAUGAACAGAUGUGCUUAUUCACUUCAGGAAAUCUCUACAAGCAUUUCUUUAGGCCUGACUGAUUGCCUGUAGCUCUCAUUUAGUAGCUAACACUCUUUGUUUACUGUGGUAACUUUCACUGAUAUUUUUGUAGAGAUUUGUGAUCGAAGAUUACAUGUGUUCAUUUUUUAUUUGUUGCCCACGUGCUUUCUAAAGAGAGAAAGAAGACUUGGAAUUUGCUGGGUGGGGGGUGGGGAAGAUGGGGAAGCAGAGAGAAGGAAAACUGCUAUCAGAGUAUAUUGUAUAAAAAAUAAAUUUCUUCUUUUUUUGGCCCAUAUUCUCCUUUACAUGGAGGACUGGUUUAUCAGUGAUGUAAUUCUAAUGCUACAGACAAUUAUUGAAUACAACAGUGACCCUAUAAAAUAUUAGAAUUUCACCAAAUUUAUUAGGUUUUACACUAAUUUUCUAGUCCUACAAAGCAUUCCAUUUUGGUAGUGGACCACAUAUCACUAGUGUAAUGCUGGUAUAAUCAGAAAUCACACAGUGUAUAUUUUGCUAAAGUGUAGAAAGCGUCCAAAAGCAAAUAAAGAAAAUGUGUAUUAGCAAAAUGGAUUUGCAACUCUGUAUGUUAUACAUUUUUGUCAUAUUUUAUUGAAAAUAGAUUCUUUUCUCAUACAAUAUAUGCUACUUAUAGUUUCCCCUCCCUCUACUCAUCCCAGUUCCACUCCACCUUCCUUCCCCUCUGGAUCUGUUCCCUUUCUGUCUCUCACUAGAAAAGAAUGGGCUUCUAAGAGAUAACAACCAAACAUAGC
rnacentral:lncRNA from 1 species